rnacentral:ribozyme from 1 species
ACACGACUGGGCGUGUAUAAAGAGACCACUAAGCUCAGUGCGUACUGCUUAUGUUACAUAACAUAGGCGGUGGCUGGU